AAUUAAAUUAAAUUAAAUAUUAAAGUAGUAUUAGUUAUAUUCUUAAAAUUUAAUAAAUUUGGCGGUAUUUUUUCUUAUCAGAGGAACUUGUUUUAUAAUUGAUAAUCCUCAUUAUAUCUUACUUAAUUUAUUUAAAAUUUGUAUACCGUCGUCAUAAAAAUAUUUUUAAAAAAUAAUAAUUUUUUUAAAAUAAUAGUAUAUAAUAUGUCAGAUCAAGGUGCAGUUUAUAGUUAAGAAAAAAUUAGUUACAAUAAAUUUAUUUUUGGUUUAAUAAUUGAAAAAUUAUUUUUAAAAUGGAUUUGAAAGUAAAUUGAUUAAUUAAAAUUGAUUGAUUAAGUUCAAAAAUAUGU
rnacentral:rRNA from 1 species